rnacentral:rRNA from 1 species
ACUCCUACGGGAGGCAGCAGUGGGGAAUAUUGCACAAUGGGCGCAAGCCUGAUGCAGCCAUGCCGCGUGUGUGAAGAAGGCCUUCGGGUUGUAAAGCACUUUCUAGCAGUGAGGAAGGCGGAGUCGUUAAUAGCGGCCUCGUUUGACGUUAGCUGCAGAAGAAGCACCGGCUAACUCCGUGCCAGCAGCCGCGGUAAUACGGAGGGUGCGAGCGUUAAUCGGAAUUACUGGGCGUAAAAGCGCAUGCAGGUGGUUUGUUAAGUCAGAUGUGAAAGCCCGGGGCUCAACCUCGGAAUAGCAUUUGAAACUGGCAGACUAGAGUCUUGUAGAGGGGGGUAGAAUUUCAGGUGUAGCGGUGAAAUGCGUAGAGAUCUGAAGGAAUACCAGUGGCGAAGGCGGCCCCCUGGACAAAGACCUGACGCUCAGAUGCGAAAGCGUGGGGAGCAAACAGGAUUAGAUACCCUGGUAGGAUAGCG